rnacentral:rRNA from 1 species
GACGAACGCUGGCGGCGUGCUUAACACAUGCAAGUCGAGCGGAAAGGCCCUUCGGGGUACUCGAGCGGCGAACGGGUGAGAAACACGUGAGUAACCUGCCCCAGACUUUGGGAUAACCCUCGGAAACGGGGGCUAAUACCGGAUACGACACAGCUUCGCAUGGGGUCUGUGUGGAAAGUUUUUCGGUUUGGGAUGGGCUCGCGGCCUAUCAGCUUGUUGGUGGGGUGAUGGCCUACCAAGGCGACGACGGGUAGCCGGCCUGAGAGGGCGACCGGCCACACUGGGACUGAGACACGGCCCAGACUCCUACGGGAGGCAGCAGUGGGGAAUAUUGCACAAUGGGCGGAAGCCUGAUGCAGCGACGCCGCGUGAGGGAUGACGGCCUUCGGGUUGUAAACCUCUUUCAGCAGGGACGAAGCGUAAGUGACGGUACCUGCAGAAGAAGCGCCGGCCAACUACGUG